AAUACGGUGCUCCAAAGACCAAAUGCAGCGGAGGAGGGAGAGAGCUUCUCGCACUGAACCGAAGAGGGGAAAAGGGUUUUCAUUGUAGGUGGCUCGCGGUGGCCAUGACUUGGGGUGUUGGCGGCGCCAUGGCUUGCGUCUCGAACAGUUUGGCUCACUCCAGACGAAGAUCGACGAUGGAAGGAGAGAGCUUCUUCGAUCUGAAAGAGAGGAGAAGGGAACCCGAUACUAGAGUGGGAAUGCCCCCGACAGUGAACGACGGGGAUGCUGGCGUCUUGGCCGAUGAGAACGACGUCUUGGCCAGCGGCUGGCGGUGGUUGGUCUCACCAGCGAUAAGGAACACAGGAUCGUUUUCUCUCGC
rnacentral:lncRNA from 1 species